AUGGAAAAAAGAAACUGUCGACGCGAGGAAGUGUUUGGAGGCUCCACUGUUGUAUCGAGGAAUCGUCUGUCUCAAGCGUCAUCCUUCUAUGCACAUGACCAGAUACCAGUUGAGGAGGAGGUAUCCGAACAGGUUGAGGUACCCGAUGAUCCUGUUCAGGAUACAUCGGUUGUCCGAUUACAUGCAGCAAUGGAGCAGGCGAACCUCAACUAUCCUAUAGGGCCUUCUGGCACCUCCUUCUUGAUAUAG